rnacentral:tRNA from 1 species
AUUUUAAUAGCUUAUAUUAGAGCAUAAUAUUGAAGAUAUUAAUGAGAAUAAUUUUCUUAAAAUA